rnacentral:rRNA from 1 species
UACAGAGGGGGCAAGCGUUGUUCGGAAUUACUGGGCGUAAAGGGCGCGUAGGCGGCUAACUCAGUCGGUCGUGAAAUCCCCUGGCUCAACCAGGGAACUGCGUCCGAUACUGGCUGGCUUGAAUCCGGGAGAGGGAUGUGGAAUUCCAGGUGUAGCGGUGAAAUGCGUAGAUAUCUGGAGGAACACCGGUGGCGAAAGCGACAGCCUGGACCGGUAUUGACGCUGAGGCGCGAAAGCCAGGGGAGCAAACAGG